UACGAGGGGAGCAAGCGUUGUUCGGAUUUACUGGGCGUAAAGGGCGCGCAGGCGGCGUGACAAGUCACUUGUGAAAUCUCCGGGCUUAACUCGGAACGGUCAAGUGAUACUGUCGUGCUAGAGUACAGAAGGGGCAACUGGAAUUCUCGGUGUAGCGGUGAAAUGCGUAGAUAUCGAGAGGAACACCUGCGGCGAAGGCGGGUUGCUGGGCUGAUACUGACGCUGAGGCGCGAAAGCCAGGGGAGCGAACGGG
rnacentral:rRNA from 1 species